rnacentral:rRNA from 1 species
UACGGGGGGGGCCAGCGUUGUUCGGAAUUACUGGGCGGAAAGGGCUCGUAGGUGGCCAACUAAGUCAUACGUGAAAUCCCUCGGCUUGACCGGGGAACUGCGUCUGAUACUGGCGGACUUGAGGACAGGAGAGGAACGCGGAAUUCCGGGUGUAGCGGUGAAAUGCGUAGAUAUCUGGAGGAACACCGGUGGCGAAGGCGGCGUUCUGGACUGUUUCUGACACUGAAAAACGAAAGCCAGGGGAGCCAACGGC